CCUACGGGAGGCAGCAGUGAGGAAUUUUCUGCAAUGGGCGAAAGCCUGACAGAGCAAUACCGCGUGAGGGAUGAAGACUUACUGAGUUGUAAACCUCGGUGCCUUAAGGAAGAAGAUCUGACGGUACUUAAGGUGGAAAGCAUCGGCUAACUCCGUGCCAGCAGCCGCGGUAAGACGGGGGAUGCAAGUGUUAUCCGGAAUUACUGGGCGUAAAGCGUCUGCAGGUGGUUUUAUAAGUCUGCUGUUAAAUCUUGAGGCUCAACCUCAAAUCUGCAGUGGAAACUAUAAGACUUGAGUAUAGUAGGGGUAGAGGGAAUUUCCAGUGGAGCGGUGAAAUGCGUAGAUAUUGGAAAGAACACCGAUGGCGAAGGCACUCUACUGGGCUAUUACUGACACUCAGAGACGAAAGCUAGGGGAGCAAAUGGGAUUAGAUACCCCAGUAGUCCUAGCCGUAAACGAUGGAUACUCGAUGUUGGACGUAUCGACCCGUUCAGUAUCUUAGCUAACGCGUUAAGUAUCCCGCCUGGGGAGUACGCUCGCAAGAGUGAAACUUAAANGAAUUGACGG
rnacentral:rRNA from 1 species